CUCAGUAUUUUCAUUGCAAUAGUGACCACUUGUCACUGUCCACUUGUGCCUUGAAAAUGUUUGCGCUUUAUUCUGUAUGUAUUUUAUCUCAAUUGAAAGGAAAAAGGACAAAACCCAGAGCCUUUUAGACAAACAUAAGAAAAAAUCCCAAAUCACCAAAUAUUUGUAGCAGCUCAACCGCACUAAAAUGUAAAUAUGACUAAGAAAGUUCUGAAAACCCAGAAAACUGGUAGAAAAAAUAGAUGGGCACAUGUAACCGUGUGCCUCUACCUUUAGGCACCAUAGAUCUUAAGUCUACUGGUUUCCUUCAAAUGCAGAGACAUUUGAUCUUACUUUGCUCACAGGAGAGCCUCCCCAACCCCUUCCACUGGUUCUCUCCACACAGGGGACUUGCAUGUUUUUCUCUGGGAAGGCCGUUCCCUUGCAAGUCUGAGAUAAAAGGUCCGCUCUCAUUUUGCUUUGACUUGCCAGGACUCAUCAGUUCACCUCCCAAAAUGACUUUCCCUGCUUGGUUCCUGGGGUUGCUGAUGUUCUGGAUCCCUGGAUCCAGUGGGGAAAUCGAGAUGACACAGACCCCGCUGUCCCUGCCCAUCACCCCUGGAGAGCCAGCCUCCGUCUCCUGCAAGGCCAGUCAGAGCCUCCUGCACAGUAAUGGAAACACCUACUUGAACUGGUACCUGCAGAAACCAGGCCUGGCUCCAAAGCGCCUGAUCUAUAUGCUUCCUAACCGGGCUUCUGGGGUCCCAGACAGGUUCAGUGGCAGCGGGUCAGGGAAAGAUUUCACCCUCAAAAUCAGCAGGGUGGAGGCUGAUGAUGCUGGAGUUUAUUACUGUCAGCAAACUCUACAAAACCGUCCCACAGUGGUACAGCCCUGUACACAGACCUCCUUCCUCUGGGGGUGCCUCUGCCCACGGGAGUUGACAGUCUGGGGAAGAAGCAGGCUUAGGUGA